UUUAGUUAAUGAAUUAUGAGUGACUUCCUCACGCACGCUGUUAUUGUAACUGAACCACUGAGGACCAGGAAUGGUUAUUAAAAGUGGACCCACAAUGAUUAUGAUGACAGUACAGUACUGCCACUUUUUAAAGGGCUGCACCAGCAAGUAGGCCUGAGGCAACUUCUCAACCUGUGAACAAUAGGAAGUCAGUCAAAGCUAAGAAAAGAAAAGCCAGCAAAGGAAAAGCAAGCAAGGCGAAGGGAGACUAUUGCGCAGCUGAGAGAAUAGACAACUACGACCCCAAAAACAACACGUAUUACAUAAAGUGGCAGGGAUAUGAUGCGUCCCACAACUCAUGGGUAAAAGCGGAAGACGUAACUUCUCCUCUCAUCUCUUCUUACAAAGAGAAAUUAGGUUUCAGAACGCACAAGAAGUGAUGCACCUCAUGUCUUUCGAUUGUUGAAAAAAUUGAUGUGAAUUUGUGCAAAUCCUCCCGCCUGUGUUUUUUUGUUCAGUGGAAUUCACGUAUUUCGGUAUUCCUUCUUCACCUCCACGCAUUAUUCAUUCUGACAUAAACUCACAUGAUCACUUUUGAUGAAAGAUUACAUAAUGGAUAAUAUUGAAUUCGCACAAAUAUAGUACAAUGUAAACUUAUCAUAUCUUUCAAAGGUCUCAUUAAAAGUAAAUGUAAGUUACAUGUACAUGUACUGUGGAAUUAUUGUUUUUUCAGACAAUCUGUGGCUGUUGUAUACAUGUAUCAUUCAAUAAACGUGGCGUUUUU